GAAAUUGGUCUUUGGGAGACGACCUAGGGAUCAUUCCCUAGCUAUACUGCAUUUAUAAUUUGCAAUCAAAUUUGUGUGAGUUGUGACAGACCAUCAAAGGGGUUCGAUUAUAUGUUUUCCGAAGGCUUUAUCGAAGGCCUUUGCCCCUCGGUAAGUUGUUCGAUUAUCUGAAAUAACAACUCACUCCCCCAUUUCGCAAAAACAAUUCUUCCCCAAAACAGCAAAAGGUAUCCACCAUCUCUGCAACUGCCCUCUACCCCAUUCGUGUUGUUUCCAAA
rnacentral:lncRNA from 1 species